rnacentral:rRNA from 1 species
CCUACGGGAGGCAGCAGUGGGGAAUAUUGGGCAAUGGGCGCAAGCCUGACCCAGCAACGCCGCGUGAAGGAAGAAGGCUCUCUGGUUUUUAACUCCUUUUUUCAGGGACGCAGCAAGUGACGGUACCCGAGGAAUAAGCCACGGCUAACUACGUGCCAGCAGCCGCCGUAAUACGGAGGUGGCAAGCGUUAUCCGGAUUUACUGGGUGUAAAGGGUGUGUAGGCGGGACUGCAAGUCAGAUGUGAAAACCACGGGCUCAACCGGUGGCCUGCAGUUGAAACUGUGGUUCUUGAGUACUGGAGAGGCAGACGGAAUGCGUAGUGUAGCGGUGAAAUGCGUAGAUAUUAGGAAGAACACCAGUGGCGAAGGCGGUAUGCUGGAGAGCAACUGACGCUGAGGCGCGAAAGCGUGGGGAGCAAACAGGAUUAGAUACCCUAGUAGUC